GUACAGGGCAUUAUUGAGAACCUUCAUGUGCAUUAUUUCUGUAAGAUAAGAAGGCGAGAGUGUGCUUCAUGCCAUGUUUGAAAUUUCCAUAGGAACUCCGGAUUUUCGUGUGAAGUACCUGUUAUAGGGAGAGACUUAUCCUGAGGCGAGGAACAAGCCUGUGAACCUGUUUAGCCCCUUAAAAAAAAGAGGAUGACAGAAAUAUGGCAUAGAACGUAACUGUUGCCGUAAGUGCUCAUCAGCAAGGUGUUGGAAGCAGCAUGAUGAAGUUUUCAAUUGAAAAUGCAAAAGAAGACGGUAAGACUAUCCCGCCAUCCUUCGACUGCUGCUUAAGUUCUCUUCCAGUCAUGCAGUCAUCCAAAUUCCAGGCAUAGCUGUGAGGAGGAAACCUAAUGCUGUAAUGCAACCGAUUAUCUUGAAUUUGAUAUGACAGGAGGUAUAACUCUGGUAUAUUUACAUGUCCGUCGGGAUAACAUACCAGCACUGGCACUGUACAAAAAGAUGGGAUUUGAGAUUCUUGCUGUGGCUACUCCUCAUCUGCCCAUUGUAGAGCAAUCUGACUACUUGUUGAGAAAUCCAUGGCUACUCCAAUCUUUCUAUCUUUCGUCAUCUUUGACUCUAAAUACUGUCUAAAAUGUUUGAGGAGAAGAAGAAAAUGAUCAAAUCAGAUUGGCAACGCAGGUGCUUUAUAGUCUAGAGACAUGCAACUAGACUAGUAACGCCUUAAGAUUUCUUUUUCUCACGCGGUUUCACGUGAGUACAUCUGCUAAAUAGCACUGCAAAAUUAGUUUUUUUUUUUGGAAAGACACUGCAAAAUUAGUUUAGGAAGGUGAUUGUUGAGUGUUAAUGUAAUGUUCAAAUCUAA